rnacentral:rRNA from 1 species
UACGAAGGGGGCGAGCGUUAUUCGGAAUCACUGGGCGUAAAGCGUGCGUAGGCUGUUUUGUAAGUCAGAAGUGAAAGCCCAGGGCUUAACCUUGGAAUUGCUUUUGAAACUACAAGACUCGAAUUCGGGAGAGGAUAGCGGAAUUGUCAGUGUAGCAGUGAAAUGCGUAGAUAUUGACAGGAACACCAGUGGCGCAAGCGGCUAUCUGGACCGAUAUUGACGCUGAGGCACGAAAGCGUGGGGAGCAAACAGG